rnacentral:rRNA from 1 species
UACGUAGGUGGCAAGCGUUGUCCGGAAUUAUUGGGCGUAAAGCGCGCGCAGGUGGGAUGUUAAGUCUUUUGUAAAAGUGCGGGGCUCAACCCCGUAAGGCGAUGGAUACUGGCAUUCUUGAGUGCAGGAGAGGAAAGCGGAAUUCCCAGUGUAGCGGUGAAAUGCGUAGAUAUUGGGAGGAACACCAGUGGCGAAGGCGGCUUUCUGGACUGUGUCUGACACUGAGGCGCGAAAGCCAGGGGAGC